UUCAUUCUGUCCUAUGCGCCGAGGAUCGCUUGGAAGCAGCCUCUCUGCCCUUUUGGGUAGGGGUAAGGCUGUCUACAUAUUACCUUCCCCAGACCCCACCUGGUGGGAGUAUACUGGGUAGUUUUUUGGGUAGGGGUAAGGCUGUCUACAUAUUACCUUCCCCAGACCCCGCCUGGUGGGAGUAUACUGGGUAGUUGUUGUUGUUGUUGUCUCUUUCAAGAAUGGCUGCCGUUUGUG
rnacentral:lncRNA from 1 species